rnacentral:rRNA from 1 species
UACGGGGGGAGCAAGCGUUGUUCGGAUUUACUGGGCGUAAAGGGCGCGUAGGCGGCCACCGCAAGUCGACUGUGAAAUCUCCGGGCUUAACCCGGAAAGGUCAGCCGAUACUGCGGGGCUAGAGUGCAGAAGGGGCAACUGGAAUUCUCGGUGUAGCGGUGAAAUGCGUAGAUAUCGAGAGGAACACCUGCGGCGAAGGCGGGUUGCUGGGCUGACACUGACGCUGAUGCGCGAAAGCUAGGGGGAGCGAACGGGG